rnacentral:pre_miRNA from 1 species
AAACAGCCCCCUAUGUUUUGAUUCUUUGGUAGUUUUGGACCCCCAAGGCAAAAAAAAAAAAAAAAAAUUGACACAUGGCACCUCACUUAGGGUGCCACGUCAGUGUUAACAAUGGGCUCGGGGUCUAAAACUGCCAAAGAAUCAAAACAUAGGGGGGUGUUU